rnacentral:rRNA from 1 species
UACGUAGGGGGGCAAGCGUUGUCCGGAUUUAUUGGGCGUAAAGAGCGUGUAGGCGGUUUGGUAGGUCCGUUGUGAAAACUCGAGGCUCAACCUCGAGACGCCGAUGGAAACCAUCAGACUAGAGUCCGGAAGAGGAGAGUGGAAUUCCUGGUGUAGCGGUGAAUGCGCAGAUAUCAGGAAGAACACCCGUGGCUAAGGCGGCUCUCUAGUACGGUACUGACGCUGAGACGCGAAAGCGUGGGGAGCGAACAGG